rnacentral:RNase_P_RNA from 1 species
GCGGAUGGCUGGAUGAUCGCGGGCCGGGAAACCGGUUCGAGGAAAGUCCGGACUCCAUGAAGGCAAGGGUGCCGGGUAACGCCCGGCUGGGGUAACCCAAGGGAAAGCGCCACAGAGAACAGACCGCCCCGGCCUGCCGGGGUAAGGGUGAAACGGUGGGGCAAGAGCCCACCGCGGACGUGGCAACACGGACGGCACGGCAAGCCCCACCCGGAGCAAUGCCAAAUAGGGGCCUCGGGCCGGUGUGAUCCUCGCAAGAGGAUAUCCCGGCAGGGACGCCUGACCCGAGAGGCCCGGGUUGGCAGCUUGAGGCGCGGCGGCAACGUCUGCGUCCAGAGGAAUGGUCAUCCAACGGGGGGCAACCCCCGGGGACAGAAUCCGGCUUACAGGCCAUCCGCGCAU